rnacentral:rRNA from 1 species
AGAGUUUGAUCCUGGCUCAGGACGAACGCUGGCGGCGCGCCUAACACAUGCAAGUCGAACGGAGCUUAGAGAGCUUGCUUUUUAAGCUUAGUGGCGAACGGGUGAGUAACGCGUGAGUAACCUGCCCUAGAGUGGGGGACAACAGUUGGAAACGACUGCUAAUACCGCAUAAGCCCACGGUACCGCAUGGUACUGAGGGAAAAGGAUUUAUUCGCUUUAGGAUGGACUCGCGUCCAAUUAGCUAGUUGGUGAGGUAACGGCCCACCAAGGCGACGAUUGGUAGCCGGACUGAGAGGUUGAACGGCCACAUUGGGACUGAGACACGGCCCAGACUCCUACGGGAGGCAGCAGUGGGGGAUAUUGCACAAUGGGGGAAACCCUGAUGCAGCGACGCCGCGUGGAGGAAGAAGGUUUUCGGAUUGUAAACUCCUGUCGUUAGGGACGAUAAUGACGGUACCUAACAAGAAAGCACCGGCUAACUACGUGCCAGCAGCCGCGGUAAAACGUAGGGUGCAAGCGUUGUCCGGAAUUACUGGGUGUAAAGGGAGCGCAGGCGGGAAGACAAGUUGGAAGUGAAAACCAUGGGCUCAACCCAUGAAUUGCUUUCAAAACUGUUUUUCUUGAGUAGUGCAGAGGUAGAUGGAAUUCCCGGUGUAGCGGUGGAAUGCGUAGAUAUCGGGAGGAACACCAGUGGCGAAGGCGGUCUACUGGGCACCAACUGACGCUCAGGCUCGAAAGCAUGGGUAGCAAACCAGAAUUAGAUACCCUGGUAGUCCAUGCCGUAAACGAUGAUUACUAGGUGUUGGGGGAUUGACCCCCUCAGUGCCGCAGUUAACACAAUAAGUAAUCCACCUGGGGAGUACGACCGCAAGGUUGAAACUCAAAGGAAUUGACGGGGGCCCGCACAAGCAGUGGAGUAUGUGGUUUAAUUCGAAGCAACGCGAAGAACCUUACCAGGUCUUGACAUCCGAUGCAUAGCACAGAGAUGUGUGAAAUCCUUCGGGACAUCGAGACAGGUGGUGCAUGGUUGUCGUCAGCUCGUGUCGUGAGAUGUUGGGUUAAGUCCCGCAACGAGCGCAACCCUUAUUGCCAGUUACUACGUUAAGAGGACUCUGGCGAGACUGCCGUUGACAAAACGGAGGAAGGUGGGGAUGACGUCAAAUCAUCAUGCCCUUUAUGACCUGGGCUACACACGUACUACAAUGGCGUUAAACAAAGAGAAGCAAGACCGCGAGGUGGAGCAAAACUCAAAAACAACGUCUCAGUUCAGAUUGCAGGCUGCAACUCGCCUGCAUGAAGUCGGAAUUGCUAGUAAUCGCGGAUCAGCAUGCCGCGGUGAAUACGUUCCCGGGCCUUGCACACACCGCCCGUCA